UCGGGAAUCUUGCACAAUGGGCGAAAGCCUGAUGCAGCAACGCCGUGUGAGCGAGGAAGGUCUUCGGAUCGUAAAGCUCUGUUGUUGGGGACGAAGGGCGAAGGGUUAAUAGCCCCUAGCCUGACGGUACCCUUCGAGGAAGCCCCGGCUAACUACGUGCCAGCAGCCGCGGUAAUACAGAGGGGGCAAGCGUUGUCCGGACUUACUGGGCGUAAAGCGCACGCAGGUGGUAACGCAAGUGGGGUGUGAAAGCCGCCAGCUCAACUGGCGGAGGCCAUCCCAAACUGCGUCACUUGAGGCCUGUAGAGGUAUGUGGAAUUGCCGGUGUAGUGGUGAAAUGCGUAGAGAUCGGCAGGAACACCCAGGGGGAAGCCAGCAUACUGGACAGGUCCUGACACUCAGGUGCGACAGCGUGGGGAGCGAACCGGAUUAGAUACCCGGGUAGUCC
rnacentral:rRNA from 1 species